rnacentral:rRNA from 1 species
CCUGGUUGAUCUUUCCAGUUGUCACAUGUUUGUCUCAAAGAUGAAGCCAUGCAUGUGUAAGUAUGAACAAAUUCAUUCUGUAAAACUGCAAAUGGCUUAUUAAAUAAGUUAUAGUUUGUUUGAUGGUAUCUACUACUUGGAUAACCGUAGUAAUUCUAGAGCUAAAAGGUGCAACAAAACUCAACUUUUGGAAGGGAUGCAUUUAUUAUAUAAAAGGUCGAUACGGGCAUGGCCCAUCAUGGCGAUGAUUUAUGAUAACUCGAUAGAUCGCACGACCAUCGUGCCGGCAAUGCAUCAUUCAAAUUUCAGCCCUAUCAACUCUCAAUGGUAGGAUAGUUGCUUACCAUGGUGGUGAUGGGUGAUGGAGAAUUAGGGUUUGAUUUAGGACAGAGAACCUGAUAAAUGGAUACAACAUCCUAGGAAGGCAGUAGGUGCACAAAUUACCCAAUCCUAACAUGGGGAGGUUUUCACAAAAUAUUAUAAUACCGGGCUCAAUGAGUCUGGUAAUUAGAAUGAGUACAAACUAAAUCCCUUAAAGAGGAUCCAUUGGAGAGCAAGUGUGGUGCCAUCAUCUGCGGUAAUUCCAUCUCGAAUAGCAUAUAUUUGAGUUAUUGCAGUUAAAAAGCUCAUAGCUGGACAUUGGGAUGGGCUGGCCGAUUCAUCUAUGGUGUGCACUGGUCAUCUCAUCCCUUCUGUCGGUAAUGCGCUCUUGGCCUUAACUGAUCGGGUCCUGCCUCCGACGCUGUUACUUUGAUAAAAUUAGAGAGCUCAAAGCAAGGCUACGCUCUGUAUACAUUAGCAUGGGAUAACAUUAUAGGAUUUCAGUCCUAUUAAGUUGGCAUUAUGGAUCAGAGUAAUGAUUAAUAGGGACAGUCUGGGGCAUUCGUAUUUCAUAGCCAGAGGUGAAAUUCUAGGAUUUAUGAAAGAUGAACAACUGAGAAAGCAUUUUCCAAGGAUGUUUUCAUUAAUCAAGAAUAAAAAUUGUGGGCUCGAAGAUGAUCAGAUACCAUCCUAGUCUCAACCAUAAAUGAUGCCGACCCUGGAUCGGCAGAUGUUUCUUUUAGGACUCCGCCGACACCUUAUGUGAAAUUAAAGUUAUUGGGUUCGGGUGGGAGUAUGGUCACAAGGCUGAAACUUAAAGGAAUUGACAGAAGGGCACCACCAGGAGUGGAGCAUGCAACUUAAUUUGACUCAACACAUGGAAACUUACCAGGUCCAGACAUAGUAAAGUGUCGUUUGGUAGAGUGUGUUAACAAAAAUAACACAUGCAUUAUUUAUUUGUAUUAUUAAUACAUGGAUUGGGACAAUUUUUAUCUAUGGAUAACUAAUACCUUGUAUUAGUUAUACACUAUAUUUGGUAUUUGACUAUGUAUUACUAAUUCCCCAUCUUUUAUAUGUAUUAGUAAUACAAAAUAUUUCAAUACAUGCAUUACAUUAUUAAAUUACAAAUUUACUCCUUAAAUUACCAAUUUCUUUCUCACCAUUUCUCCACAUCUUCUUCCUUCCUAAUCAAUCAUCUUCUUAUUUUUCUGAUUUCUUUCUUCUUACUUUCUUCAGAUUAAAUUCUGUCAAUUUCAUUCCGCCACAAUGUCAACAUU